GGGGGGCUAUCUGCAGUCGAGCGGAAGAAGGGAGCUUGCUCCCGGAUGUUAGCGGCGGACGGGUGAGUAACACGUGGGUAACCUGCCUGUAAGACUGGGAUAACUCCGGGAAACCGGAGCUAAUACCGGAUAGUUCCUUGAACCGCAUGGUUCAAGGAUGAAAGACGGUUUCGGCUGUCACUUACAGAUGGACCCGCGGCGCAUUAGCUAGUUGGUGAGGUAACGGCUCACCAAGGCGACGAUGCGUAGCCGACCUGAGAGGGUGAUCGGCCACACUGGGACUGAGACACGGCCCAGACUCCUACGGGAGGCAGCAGUAGGGAAUCUUCCGCAAUGGACGAAAGUCUGACGGAGCAACGCCGCGUGAGUGAUGAAGGUUUUCGGAUCGUAAAGCUCUGUUGUUAGGGAAGAACAAGUGCAAGAGUAACUGCUUGCACCUUGACGGUACCUAACCAGAAAGCCACGGCUAACUACGUGCCAGCAGCCGCGGUAAUACGUAGGUGGCAAGCGUUGUCCGGAAUUAUUGGGCGUAAAGGGCUCGCAGGCGGUUUCUUAAGUCUGAUGUGAAAGCCCCCGGCUCAACCGGGGAGGGUCAUUGGAAACUGGGAAACUUGAGUGCAGAAGAGGAGAGUGGAAUUCCACGUGUAGCGGUGAAAUGCGUAGAGAUGUGGAGGAACACCAGUGGCGAAGGCGACUCUCUGGUCUGUACUGAUCUCACGAGCGAAAGCGUGGGCGAGCGAAU
rnacentral:rRNA from 1 species